GGAGAGAUGACCGAGAGGCCGAAGGUGCUCGCCUGCUAAGCGAGUAUACCCCAAAAGGGUAUCUGGGGUUCGAAUCCCCAUCUCUCCGCCA
rnacentral:tRNA from 1 species